CAUGGAAUGAUGGAGUCCCUGCACGGUUGGGCUUGCAAGGGAGCCUGAAGAACAACAUCUUGUUCCCAGCUGAGCAGUCUUCCCCCAGAGCAGGCUGCUCAGGGCCCUGUUGCCAAGGAUGGGGCAUGCACAGCCUCUAUGCACAGCCUGGGCCAGUGCCCCACCACCCCCAGUGGAAAAGAGCAGCUUCCUUAGAUGCAGCUUCAAUCAACCUGCUGCAGUUGAAAGCCAUCCCCCCUUGUCCUGUCAGCACAGGCCCUGCUGAACACUCCGUCCCCUUCUUUCCUGCGGGACCCUUCCAGUCCUGCAGAGCCACAGGGAGGCCUCCCAGUGUCUCCUCUCUCCAGGCUGAGCAUCCCCAGCCCCACUUGCCCAGCAGUCAGUCACAUCAGGGCCAGUCAAGGCUGCAGGGUAGCAAAUAGCAUCAGGAACUGAGAGAUGCAAGCUUUAGACCCAGGUUUUUCUGUUUGAAAGGAAGCUUGGCACAAUGUCCAUUGUCUUCUCCAUUUGUGAAAGACCAAGCGGAGUCUGGGCAGGCUGAUAUGCAGAGCAAAACCUGAAAAUAUACUGGUGAUCCUGACCCUGGGGGAUGCAGAUAAACCCUACCAGAAGGAAUUUCUGGAAAGCUGAUCCUGGUUUACAUUAUCUUGAGUUUGGCUUUGGCAACUUCACCAGUCUUUUAUGAAAAAGCAAACAAAAAACUCAAACAAAAUCAGACAAAAACCCAAUCAAUCAAUCAAACAAACACACCCAGCAGCAAACCAAUCAAACAAA